UACGUAGGGGGCAAGCGUUGUCCGGAAUCAUUGGGCGUAAAGCGCGUGUAGGUGGCCAAGUAGGUCCGCUGUGAAAACUUGAGGCUCAACCUCAAGCUGUCGGUGGAAACCACUUGGCUAGAGUCCGGAAGAGGAGAGUGGAAUUCCUGGUGUAGCGGUGAAAUGCGCAGAUAUCAGGAAGAACACCAAUGGCGAAGGCAGCUCUCUGGGACGGUACUGACACUGAGACGCGAAAGCGUGGGGAGCGAACAGG
rnacentral:rRNA from 1 species